GGACUACUGGGGUAUCUAAUCCCGUUUGCUCCCCUGGCUUUCGUGCCUCAGCGUCAGAAGAGGCCCAGCGUGUCGCUUUCGCCACCGGCGUUCCUUCCGAUAUCUACGCAUUUCACCGCUCCACCGGAAGUUCCACACGCCCCUACCUCCCUCGAGACGACCGGUAUCGGGAGCCCUUCUCCCGUUGAGCGGGAGGAUUUCACUUCCGACCUUGUCGCCCGCCUACGCACCCUUUAAGCCCAGUGAAUCCGAACAACGUUUGCACGGUUCGUCUUACCGCGGCUGCUGGCAC
rnacentral:rRNA from 1 species